GAUUCUCCUGUCUCAGCUUCCCGAGUAGCUGGUACUACAGGUGCGCCGCCAUGCCCAGCUAAUUUUUGUAUUUUUAGUAGAGACGGGGUUUCGCCAUGUUGGGCAGGCUGGUCUUGAACUCCUGACCUCAAGUGAUCCUCCCAAAGUGCUGGGAUUACAGGCGUGAGCCACCACCCCUGGCCUAAUUUGUUUUUGUUUGUUUUUUUUUUAUCUUCCAGGCAGCUUUUUGAAGUAUCUUUUGCUAUCUCACUCUACCUCUUUGUCAUUGUGUUAAACCCUUUUUUAUUCCCUUAUCAGUAUUCAAGUCUCAGUAGAAAUAGGCUGUAAGCAUGUGGUCAGCCUGUCACCUUGAAUUGAUGGUCACUGAGAGCUUUUCGGGAUUCACAUAUCCUUUCCACCAAAGAUUUGGGGAGAAAGUAGAGGAGCAGACAUAGGGUUUGAGUGCAAGGGGUCUCCAUGUGUUUUGUUAAGUUCUCCUAAUUAUGGAAUCAUUAGUUGAAUCGACAACAUUUAUACUAUAUUUACAGUGUUUUUAAAUGGAUUGAAAUUUAUUAGUUACCAAAUUUUGCCACUUAAUGCAACAGACAUUUGAUACUUUCUCUGUGGUGAAUAACAAUGUGUAGUUGACGGUGCUUGGGUGCAGUUUUAGAAUUUUCUGUGAACUUGAGGCACUCUUUGGGGAAGUUGUUUUUUUUAAAAGCAUCUGACGCUGGGUGUGGUAGCUCAUGCCUGUAAUCCCAGCACUUUGGGAAGCCGAGAUGGGUGGGUCACCUGAGGUCAGGAGUUUCAAGACCAGCCUGGCCAACAUGGCGAAACCUUGUCUACUAAAAGUACAAAAUUAGCUGGGGGUAGUGGUGCACCCCUGCAGCCCCAGCUACUCAGGAGACUGAGGCGGGAGAAUCGCUUGAACCUGGGAAGUGGAGGUUGCAGUGAGCCGAGAUCGUGCCAUUGCACUCUAGUCUGGGUGACGAGCAAAACUCUGUCCCAAAAAUAAUAACGGGCUGGGCACGUUGGCUCACGCCUGUAAUUCCAGCACUUGGGGAGGCCGAGACGCGGAGCACCUGAGGUCAGGAGUUUGAGACCAGCCUGACCAAUAUGAUGAAACCCCACCUCUACUAAAAAUACAAAAAUUAGGCGGGCAUGGUGGCAUGUGCCUGUAAUCCCAGCUACCCAGGAGGCUGAGACAGGAGAAUCGCUUGGACCCGAGAGGUGGAGGUUUUAGUGAGCCGAGAUCUUGCCAUUGCACUCCAGCCUGGGCACAAUCUAGCCUGGGCAACAAAGGCGAAACUCCCAUCUUAAAAAAUAAUAAAAAUAAAAUUGAAACAUAUUGUCUAUUCUAGUAACUAAUAGCCAUAUAGGUUUAUUAGCAAUUUAAAUAUUGCUAUUGUUCAUUGUAUUGAGAGAAACUAAUGACCUUAUAGUCAAAUAACUAAAAAUUUGCUUAUUUUGGAAUAAAUAAAAGCUAAGUAUGAAAAUUCAGUCCUGACAAUAGACCACUAAUGACUUUAUUGUCCAGAAAUUGACACAUUGGUCUUGUGACAGUGAAUACAUUUUCCUUCCUUUUGGAGGAAGGGGAUGUAAGCUUUUAGGAGCUAUAAAUGCAUUUCCAACUUACGUUUAUGAUGAGUUUAUUGGCACAUAUACCCCAUCAUAAGUUGAGCAUCUCUACAUGUCACAUCAUGAUGGACCCAACAGACAAUGUUGAAUGGAGCAAGCCUGGGAAAAAGUAGGGCAUUGUUCCAUUCAGAAUUCCUAAUGUAGAAAAGCAAAAAUAGUCCAUGGCGAUAGAAGUCAGAAUACUACAUACCUUUAGGGAGGAGUGGCUAUUAACUGAGUAUGAGAGAUUCUUGCAAGGUGAUAGAAAUGUUUGUGUCUUGGCCAGGCGUUGUGGCUUUUGCCUGUAUUCCCAGCUCCUGGGAGGCCAAGGCAGGAGGAUCACUUAAGCCCAGGAAUACAAAACCAGCCUGGUUAACAUAAUGAGACCCUAUUUCUUUUGUUUUUCUUCAGGAAAUACGUAGGUGUGGUGGCUCAUGCCUAUAGUCCCACCUACUCAGGAGAUGACCCUAUCUUUAAAAAAAAAAAAAAAAUUUAUCCAAACUGAAGCAGAGAGAGGAAAAGGCUAAAAAGCACCUCAACAAAGCCUCAGUAACCUGUGUGUGAGACAAUAUCUAGCAGUCUUUUUUUUCUUUUUGAGACGGAGUUUUCGCUCUUGUCGCCCAGGCUGGAGUGCAAUGGCGCGAUCUCGGCUCACCGCAACCUCCGCCUCCUGGGUUCAAGCGAUUCUCCUGCCUCAGCCUCCCGAAUAACUGGGAUUACAGGCAUGCGCCUCCACGCCCGGCUAAUUUUGCAUUUUUAGUAGAGGCGGGGUUUCUCCAUGUUGGUCAGGCUGGUCUCAAGAACUCCUGACCUCAGGUGAUCCGCCCGCCUCGGCCUCCCAAAGUGCUAGGAUUACAGGCGUGAGCCACCGCGCCGGGCCAAUAUCUAGCAGUCUUUCAUAGAUGUAAUGGUAAUACCAGGGGAUGAGAGAGUGCAGGGGGAAAAAUAAUUUCUUAAGAAAUGGCUGAAAAUUUACUAAGUUCCCAGAAACUAUAUAAGCCCAAGUAUGGGAAGUUCAAGUGACCCCAAAACAAAGUCAAACCAAGGCAACUGUGGCCGGGCGCGGUGGCUCAUGCCUGUAAUCCCAGCACUUUGGGAGGCCGAGGCGGGCGGUUCAGGAGAUCAAGAGAUUGAGACCAUCCUGGCUAACACGGUGAAACCCCGUCUCUACUAAAAAUACAAAAAGAAAUUAGCCAGACGUGGUGGUGCAUGCCUGUAGUCCCAGCUACUCUGGAGGCUGAGGCAGGAGAAUGGCGUGAACCCCGGGAGGCAGAGCUUGCAGUGAGCCGAGAUCGCGCCACUGCACUCCAGCCUGGGCGACAGAGUGAGACUCCGUCUCAAAAAAAAAAAAAAAAAAAAAACAAGGCAACUUUAGUGAAGCUAUUGCGUACCAGUUUAUGAUAAAGGGUGGGGGAAGAAAAACAAUGAAAGACAACUUAGCAACUGGAGAAAACUGUACACAUGACAUGGGUAAUCAGCAAUUAGUUACUACUACUCAUUAGUAAUAGUGCAAGUCAGACAGUAAUGAAACAUCUUUAAAGUGAUGAAAGAAAUAUCAGUGUAGAUACCCAGCAAAAAUAUCCUUCAAAAUAAAGGUAUCUUCAGAUUAAACUACAAAUGGAAAAGAAUACUAGAUUAAAACUGGAAUUACACAAAGGAAUGAAGAGUGCCAGAAAUGGUAAAUUUAUGGCUAAAGACUUUAUUGUUUUUCUUUAAAAAGUAGUUUACUGUUCAAUACAAAAUUGUAGUCAUGUAUUGUGGGAUGUGAAAUGUAAAAUGUAUGUCAAUAAAGAUAAAAAAUGAAUAUUGUUAUCACGUUCUUAUAUGUAGAUUAAUAUUAUUUGAAGAUAGACUGUAAUAGGUUAAAGAUGCAUAUUGUAAACCCUAAGGUAGCCAUUAAUAACAAAACAGAGGUAUAGCUAGUAAACUAAUGGAGUACAUAAAAUGUAACACU
rnacentral:lncRNA from 1 species